GGCUGAUGUACCAGCUGCCCUGGUGAGGAAGAUGAGGGCAUCGUGUCGAGUCACGAAGUAGAUUGUGUUUUAGCAGCAGCUGUGUGCUUGCCUGUGGGACCCACACAGUUCAGAAGCUUGAAUCGAACCUAUGGUUAUAACUUUGGGUCUCAGAUCCACUUAAGAAGCUUCUCCAUGCUUGGCUGGCAGGGGAGACACCAGGAUCACCAAGGAGUUUCUUCACAUCAGAAGCGACACCUGAUGGGGGAACAGCGAUCCCCUCUGUACCUCUGAGACCAGGAGUGGGACUGGUGACUUUGUUCAUGUGCACGGGACAGUGAAGAUUGAGGAAGUUUCCCCCGGCAGAACAG